UAGGGAAUCUUCGGCAAUGGACGGAAGUCUGACCGAGCAACGCCGCGUGAGUGAAGAAGGUUUUCGGAUCGUAAAGCUCUGUUGUAAGAGAAGAACGAGUGUGAGAGUGGAAAGUUCACACUGUGACGGUAACUUACCAGAAAGGGACGGCUAACUACGUGCCAGCAGCCGCGGUAAUACGUAGGUCCCGAGCGUUAGUUAUCCGGAUGGUUGGGCGUAAAGCGAGCGCANGCGGUUAUUUAAGACUGAAGAUUUUAGCUGUGUCUUAACCAAACAACGCUUCCGUUUUCUGAUUUUGUGAAUGUGGAAGGGGAGAGGGGAAUUCCAUGUGUUGCGGGGGAAUGCGUUGAUAUAUAAAAGGAAACCGGAGGCGCCGCGGGUCUCUGGUCCGUCUCUGACGCUGAAGCUCGGAAGCGUGAGGAGCAAACAGGAUUAGAUACCCUGGNAGUCCACCCCGUAAGCGAUGAGUGCUAGGUNUUGUGUCCUUUCNGGGACUCAGUGCCGCANUUNACGCAUUCACCGCUGCGGCCUGGCGAGUAGGACCGCAACGUUGA
rnacentral:rRNA from 1 species